GUGUAUAUAUGUGUACACACACACACACACACACAUUUAUAUAUGUGUAUGUGUGUGAGAAUAUAUAUAUGUAUAU